CCACUGACUCCCGAACAUAACACCGCAAGGACUGCCACAAGUACUAUUCUUUGGUCUCACCUAAAAAAGAAAAGAGGAGUGAGUAUUCGGAGAAAAAUACUCAGUAAGGUGGUGCUUUUGGAACACACAAGAUUCUUUGACAUAUUAUUUGAAAUAGCAAUAAUGUAUAAUCAACUUAGAAUAACUAAUAUUAUUAUAUAAUAUAUAUGUUAUUAUAUAAUAUAUAUAUAUAUAUGAUUUUAAUAUUUAUAAAUAAAUAAAAUCAUUCAAUCAUACAAAACAAACCUAAAUAAUCUACUUCAUAUUCCCAAAGAAUGUCCGUCAAUGGUACUCAUUUUCUGCCACCACCCGUUCUGGGCUUGACAGGUUACCGGUGCGACCACCCUCAACAGGGUUUGACUAUGGCUCGUCAGCCCUUUCUCGAUCACUACAACUUCACAAUAUUCAGUCAUUCACUGUAGGCCGUCAAAUAAUUUAUCGAUCACUACAACUUCAUAAUAUUCAAUUCUUCGCUAUAGGCCAUCAUUAACCAAAUAAGUACUAUUCCAACUAGCAACUAAGUAUUUUAUAUUCUUAUUAUCAUAUUUCAAUAUUAUUCAUUAUGUAUCAUCAUCAAUAAACAAUCAAUAAUCAAUAUCAAUCACCUUUUAUCAAAUACCAAUUAUCAAUCAUAUUUAAUACCUACACUAAACAUACACACAUUACUAAAUCAACUAAUAUAUCUUAGAAAUCCUUGUCCUCACCUUUGCUGAAGAUUAUCAAACUCAGCUCACUCGGAUGGAUUUGAUACACAACAUAAAAAUGGUCAUAACUUUCUGUUCACAGCUCGGAAUUGAUAUCUGAAGAUUGAUCUGGAAAGCUGGGUCGAAGAUCUUCACGCCGGUAUAUAGAUCGUCUUCUGGAUCUUCCUAGAUCGCCGGAAAAACGCAUCUCAAGUUAGCUGCUCGCGGAUUGGAUUCUGCACAGAUAUGCCUCGGGAAAACACCUAUAACUUUCAAACCAUAACUCCAAAUAAUGAACGGCUUUCGGUUAUAUCUAGAUCUAAGGGUCAGGAACAUUCUCACCAAUUUUCAGGUCGAUCGGACUUCAAAUAAGUCGUCCACAGUCCUUUGAAGUUGCUGCGUCGAAGCAGAUUUCUGAGUUACAAGAUGAUGCAGAUGAUACUUGCGCAGAAAGAAAGCUUCGUUGUGGCCUGACCUUAACUCCGAUGACAAUGCCGUUUUCUCCUACGGCUUCAUUGCAUUGAGAUCUUUCCAGAAACACCUUGAUCACGGUUUAACUCUCUCUGAAACAGCGGGAAUCGCAUUCACAAAACCCCAUCUUGAAUCUGUGUCUUUUCCCUCAACUCUCUUCUCUUUUUCUUCUCUUCUCUUUCUUCUCUUCUCUUCUCUUAUGGCGCAGCUGUUUCUCUUCUCCAUUUUUUUUUGUUUCAUUAGUUUUGGUUUAGGUAUUUUGGUUUAGAGAAAAAGAAAUUAAAAUAUGGAUUUGGGCUUAAUGACGGUUAAAGGAAUAGGAUUAGAGUUUAAAGUUUUAAAA
rnacentral:lncRNA from 1 species